rnacentral:lncRNA from 1 species
AUCACCCUUCAAAUUUAAUUUAAUUUCACUUUACUCCCUCAUGUUUCAGGAAACAUCAAUUUACACCUAGACCUUUGAGAAAAUUGUGAGCUGCUUACAAAAUCGCUAAUUACAAUGGUUGACUGUCGUUGACCGACAAAAUAUUAUUCUUCAAUUGACAAAAAUUAUCCCCACAAAUAUAAGAUAUGGAGAUGUAAAUGGAGCCGUGCGGUGCUAGCAACUGAUUUUGUGGAUAUGAUAUGAUGAUGCUUGAUAAUUAAUGUGCUCAAAUACGCCUACGAUGCAUCGGCUGGAAGCGGCUGUACAGUGUACGCGCUCGCUGGAGCAGAGUGGCUUGUGUCGGUCGAAGUUUUGGGAGCUCAGACGUGUUCAAUGUUGAUUGAAGAACCAGGAAGCGGGCCAUCCGCGGCGGCGUAAGAGGACGCGCUCGACGGCAUUCGCCGGCGUAGGUGCGCAGCGGUUGCUAUAAUUGCCGUUGAAUUUGAUAUCAUUCUAAGCUAUCAAAGGACGAAUUUAGCGUUUAAGAGACUGGGGUGGCGUUAAUUGAUAUUAACCCUUUAAAAUUAUUAGUUUGAUGUCGUGUAAAAUGUUUUGGUUCUGAGGUGUUUAUUAAAGAUAUUAUAAAUUUUUUAUUAUAUAAAUUUAAAAUAAAAUCAAUUUAUAAACAUUAUAUUGUUACGACUGCCCAAUCACAGUACUAAAUUGAUCUCAAGUAAUGAAAGAAAAACAGAUAUGUUGUUUGGUUGCUGAGAAAAUAGAUCAGAGAAGAUGCUUCUGGAAAUC